rnacentral:misc_RNA from 1 species
AACGUUUCCCAAACAGGUGUAACAGACAAACUUAAACAGGUAUUGAACAAGGUGAAGAAUCCGCCAAAGGGUGGAAUUUAUGACGAUCUUUAUGGAGAAUCAAUUCCUAGUAAAGUUGGAUCUUGGGCAUAUUCUGGUAUCGGUCAGUCUGCUUCCACUAACGAUGCUGAAGGACACUCCCCUGGUUCCUUAGGCAGAGUCUCUGGGAGUAUCUCAAGCAAUGUGGAUGACGAUACUGAUGAUUUGUUUGGCUAGCAAACACAUUGCUUACUUUUGAAUUCGGCCUCAACCCCUGGCCAUUGGCAAUGAGUUCAGACGUAUGAGCUGCACG